GGUGGGGUAACGGCUCACCAAGGCGACGAUCGGUAGGUGGUCUGAGAGGACGAUCACCCAGACUGGGACUGAGACACGGCCCAGACUCCUGCGGGAGGCAGCAGUCGGGAAUUUUGCACAAUGGGCGAAGGCCUGAUGCAGCAACGCCGCGUGAGGGAUGAAGGCCUUCGGGUUGUAAACCUCUUUUCCUGGGGACGAUAAUGACGGUACCCAGGGAAUAAGCCACGGCUAACUACGUGCCAGCAGCCGCGGUAAUACGUAGGUGGCGAGCGUUGUCCGGAUUUACUGGGCGUAAAGAGCGCGCAGGCGGUCGGUCAAGUCGAAUGUGAAAGCCCCCGGCUCAACUGGGGAGUGUCAUUCGAUACUGGUCGACUCGAAGGCGGGAGAGGGAGGCGGAAUUCCCGGUGUAGUGGUGAAAUGCGUAGAUAUCGGGAGGAACACCAGUGGCGAAGGCGGCUUUCUGUCCCGUUCUUGACGCUGAGGCGCGAAAGCCAGGGGAGCAAACGGGAUUAGAUACCCCGGUAGUCCUGGCUGUAAACGAUGGACACUAGGUGUUGGUGGUAUCAACCCCGCCAGUGCCGACGCUAACGCAUUAAGUGUCCCGCCUGGGGAGUACGGCCGCAAGGCUAAAACUCAAAGGAAUUGACGGGGACCCGCACAAGCAGCGGAGCGUGGGGUUUAAUUCGACGCAACGCGAAAAACCUUACCAGGACUUGACAUGACCGAGACACCGGCGGAAACGUCGGCUCCCCGCAAGGGGCUCGGCCACAGGUGUUGCAUGGCUGUCGUCAGCUCGUGUCGUGAGAUGUUGGGUUAAGUCCCGCAACGAGCGCAACCCUUACUGUGUGUUGUACCACUCACACGGGACUGCCGAGAGAAACUCGGAGGAAGGUGGGGAUGACGUCAAGUCAGCACGGCCCUUACGUCCUGGGCUACACCCACGCUACAAUGGCCGGUACAACGGGCGGCGAAACCGCGAGGUGGAGCUAAUCCCUAAAAGCCGGUCUCAGUUCGGAUUGCAGGCUGCAACUCGCCUGCAUGAAGCCGGAGUUGCUAGUAACCGCAGGUCAGCAUUACUGCGGUGAAUAUGUUCCCGGGUCUUGUACACACCGCCCGUCACGUCAUGAAAGCCGACAACACCCGAAGCCGGUGGGCCAACCGCAAGGAGGUAGCCGUCGAAGGUGGGGUUGGUGAUUGGGACGAAGUCGAAACAAGGUAGCCGUACCGGUAGGUGCGGCUG
rnacentral:rRNA from 1 species